rnacentral:lncRNA from 1 species
AUUGAUAAAGUUGGGGACUUCCUCACUGCCAGCCCUGAAUCACCGUCUCUUUUCAGCGUUUUCUCCUAUUGGUCAGUUGGACUGAAGGAGCCCGAACUCUGAACCUGGUACACAUACUCAUGCCCCAUCACCUCUUCUGACAGGUGCUGUCUCCAUUCCAGGCUCUUCAUGAAUCAACCACUCUUCAUUCGCUGGGCGGGGGCCAGGUGCUCUGUUUGACUGGGUGCUCCUGCUGACUGAGGAAAGCACCACCUUAUCUCGAUUUGAUCUACCACAUUGUUCCACCUUUUCUACAGUGUGAUCCAAGCUACAUGUUUUAGCCUCUUCUCUUGACCAAAACUAGAAUAAGCACGAUUACUACCAUCAUCACCACAAAAACCCCAGUAGCAUAGUUGUGAAUUCCCACUCCCCCCACUUUCUGUUCCCUCCAUAUGGCCUCUCUCAUGUUUUUUUUUUUUAAAUACUCACCAUUCUCAUUUA